GAUGAACGCUGGCGGCGUGCUUAACACAUGCAAGUCGAACGGAAAGGCCCAAGCUUGCUUGGGUACUCGAGUGGCGAACGGGUGAGUAACACGUGGGUGAUCUGCCCUGCACUUCGGGAUAAGCCUGGGAAACUGGGUCUAAUACCGGAUAGGACCACUUCUUGGAUGUCGUGGUGGAAAGUUUUUUCGGUGUGGGAUGAGCUCGCGGCCUAUCAGCUUGUUGGUGGGGUAAUGGCCUACCAAGGCGUCGACGGGUAGCCGGCCUGAGAGGGUGUACGGCCACAUUGGGACUGAGAUACGGCCCAGACUCCUACGGGAGGCAGCAGUGGGGAAUAUUGCACAAUGGGCGCAAGCCUGAUGCAGCGACGCCGCGUGGGGGAUGACGGCCUUCGGGUUGUAAACUCCUUUCGCUAGGGACGAAGCGUUUUGUGACGGUACCUGGAGAAGAAGCACCGGCUAACUACGUG
rnacentral:rRNA from 1 species